rnacentral:rRNA from 1 species
UGGGGAAUAUUGCACAAUGGGCGAAAGCCUGAUGCAGCAACGCCGCGUGAGUGAUGAAGGCCUUCGGGUUGUAAAGCUCUGUCUUCUGGGACGAUAAUGACGGUACCAGAGGAGGAAGCCACGGCUAACUACGUGCCAGCAGCCGCGGUAAUACGUAGGUGGCAAGCGUUGUCCGGAUUUACUGGGCGUAAAGGGCGCGCAGGCGGAAUGGAAAGUCAGUGGUGAAAUCCUACAGCUUAACUGUAGAACUGCCUUUGAUACUUUCAUUCUUGAGUUCGGGAGAGAGGGACGGAAUUCCAGGUGUAGUGGUGAAAUACGUAGAUAUCUGGAAGAACACCAGUUGCGAAGGCGGUCUCUUGGUCCGAUACUGACGCUGAGGCGCGAAAGCGUGGGGAGCAAACA